rnacentral:tRNA from 1 species
UCCUGUGUAGCUCAAUGGGUAAAGAAUCUGCCUGCAAUGCAGGAGACCUGGGUUCGAUUCCAAGGUCAGAAA